GCUCCCUUUGGGAGCACAUAUACUAAAAUUGGAAUGAUAUAGAGAAAAUUAGCAUGGCCACUGAGCAAGAAUGACACACAAAUUCAUGAAGUAUUCAAUAUGUUA
ensembl:snRNA U6 U6 spliceosomal RNA